rnacentral:rRNA from 1 species
GACGAACGCUGGCGGCGUGCUUAACACAUGCAAGUCGAACGGAAAGGCCCUGCUUUUGUGGGGUGCUCGAGUGGCGAACGGGUGAGUAACACGUGAGUAACCUGCCCUUGACUUUGGGAUAACUUCAGGAAACUGGGGCUAAUACCGGAUAGGAGCUCCUGCUGCAUGGUGGGGGUUGGAAAGUUUCGGCGGUUGGGGAUGGACUCGCGGCUUAUCAGCUUGUUGGUGGGGUAGUGUCUUACCAAGGCUUUGACGGGUAGCCGGCCUGAGAGGGUGACCGGCCACAUUGGGACUGAGAUACGGCCCAGACUCCUACGGGAGGGAGCAGUGGGGAAUAUUGCACAAUGGGCGGAAGCCUGAUGCAGCAACGCCGCGUGCGGGAUGACGGCCUUCGGGUUGUAAACCGCUUUCGCCUGUGACGAAGCGUGAGUGACGGUAAUGGGUAAAGAAGCACCGGCUAACUACGUG